UAGGGAAUCUUCCACAAUGGACGCAAGUCUGAUGGAGCAACGCCGCGUGAGUGAAGAAGGUUUUCGGAUCGUAAAGCUCUGUUGUUGGUGAAGAAGGAUAGAGGGCAGUAACUGGUCUUUAUUUGACGGUAAUCAACCAGAAAGUCACGGCUAACUACGUGCCAG
rnacentral:rRNA from 1 species